CUCGUAGGCGGCCAACUAAGUCGGACGUGAAAUCCCUCGGCUUAACCGGGGAACUGCGUCCGAUACUGGAUGGCUUGAGGUUGGGAGAGGGAUGCGGAAUUCCAGGUGUAGCGGUGAAAUGCGUAGAUAUCUGGAGGAACACCGGUGGCGAAGGCGGCAUCCUGGACCAAUUCUGACGCUGAUGAGCGAAAGCCAGGGAGCAAACG
rnacentral:rRNA from 1 species